rfam:Asian citrus Psyllid, Diaphorina citri - Florida Strain, whole genome shotgun sequence.
CGCAGGGGCAACAGCACGUUGAAUGCAACACUUCCGCAUGGAUCACUGAAGUUAAGCAACGUUGCCUUGGUUAGUAUCCGGAUAGGUGACCAUCUGGGCAAUCGCGUGCUGCUGGCU